rnacentral:rRNA from 1 species
UGGGGAAUUUUGGACAAUGGGCGCAAGCCUGAUCCAGCCAUGCCGCGUGAGUGACGAAGGCCUUAGGGUUGUAAAGCUCUUUUGGCGGGGAAGAUAAUGACGGUACCCGCAGAAUAAGCUCCGGCUAACUUCGUGCCAGCAGCCGCGGUAAUACGAAGGGAGCUAGCGUUGUUCGGAAUCACUGGGCGUAAAGCGCACGUAGGUGGGCAGUUAAGUCAGGGGUGAAAGCCCGAGGCUCAACCUCGGAAUUGCCUCUGAUACUGGCUGUCUAGAGUUCGAGAGAGGUGAGUGGAAUUCCUAGUGUAGAGGUGAAAUUCGUAGAUAUUAGGAAGAACACCGGUGGCGAAGGCGGCUCACUGGCUCGAUACUGACGCUGAGGUGCGAAAGCGUGGGGAGCAAACAGGAUUAGAUACCCACGUAGUCCCUGAGCGGGCUGGCAAGGCGCAU